rnacentral:lncRNA from 1 species
GUUCUCGGUGUUCCGUUGGCAUGCCGGCUACAUAAGCAAGGCGAGACAGCGGCGAUCCGCACAGACUGUUAUUUCUGAAGCAAAUGCGGUUGCCACCGUCAGCUGGAACCAAGGCGGUAUGUGAGUCGUAUCAUAGCCUGCUUCAGUAAAGCACAGGAAAGGAGCCGCACCGAAAACAGACGGGUGGUUGCGGGUGCAAGAGACAGAAUGGCAAAAUAAGAGUUUACCCAGGGUGGAAUAACAGGAACAUUACUGAGUGCAAACGAGGUAAAUGAGUGUAUUUUGGCGGGUGUCGGAAGUGAAGAAACCCCGUUUUCAAGUGACUGUUUUCCGUCGCACUUCGGAAGUGCCUUGCGUGUCUAGAAAAGUAAUUGAGCAUCCAACAUCACAUGAGCACCGCGAGGCUGUUUGUCUAACAGGUUCUUCCUUGCUUUCUUGAGGCCUGACGGAAGAACGCGUUCCGACGACGUGGAUGACAAGCGGAAGACAUGCUGGCGUCAAGCUGUACGAGCUUAAUGUUCAGCUACCUCACACCGAAAUGGACUUAAAGGCAACGUCAGACGGGGAGAGUAUGCUUCAAUGAAUAACUGAAGAUUUUCGGGAGAAACAGCAAGUGGAACAGCUAUUUUCUCUCGAACGCUUCCACUCUAGUUCACGAUCAGUUUCCACCAUCUUCAACACUUGAAGCACUGCAUGUGGUGGACAAGUGCUCCGCCAGCCUCGGCAUUUUUAAUCUCAUCUUGCGCACUUCCACUUCAUUCUUGUGUAGAGAAACGGUGGAGGCAGUUGUCUGUGUUUGAAACAGCUCAUGGUAGCGAAAGCAAGAGGAAAAUGCGUGGCCAGUACAGAAAUAAUUUUAGCAGAUGAAGAGGGAAAACCUGAGAUGCUGUGAAACGGUCGAGCUGUGGGACCCUGCCUACAAAGUAGAGUAUGUAUCACCAGCAAAACUCCUUCUGGAUAUCUUGCUGAGUCCCGUAUGACAGAGUCAGUAGUAAAUCAAUAACCAAGAGUUCACGGUGACUGUGGCACGAGGGCGAAACGACCUGAACGGCGUUAAGAAACCAGUGCACACGGCAUUCCCCAACUGGUUAUCGAUGCCUGAAGUUUGAGUUUGGGUAUUUGCCGAUCGGCGUACCUCUCUACGCGCGCGGUGGGUACAGAGCCAUCCAUGGUACAGGAGCUCAGUGUCGUGUCGCUUCAAAAGGCAGAAGACACACUUUCUUGGUCAAUAUGUGGAACCGAAGGGAAGGAUGUAAGUGCUGUUGAGUAGUUUUUAUGUUACCAGUGAAUCACUAGGCGAAGCGCAAUUUAACCGCCUAGAUCAAAGCAAGGAAAACGCUGUAAAUGACAUGUUCUUGCAAGUGUUUUCCUGAACGUGUUAAACUGUGGCCACACAUGAGUUGUCUCAAAAUAGUACUAUCAAAAUGAGAUAAAAAAACGUGUCUCUUAGCCCUAACCCACAGGGUGUGUGUCGUUCCGC